rnacentral:rRNA from 1 species
CCUACGGGGGGCAGCAGGCGCGAAAACUUUACAAUGCGGGAAACCGUGAUAAGGGGACACCGAGUGCCAGCAUCAUAUGUUGGCUGUCCAGAUGUGUAAAAUACAUCUGUUAGCAAGGGCCGGGCAAGACCGGUGCCAGCCGCCGCGGUAACACCGGCGGCCCGAGUGGUGAUCGUGAUUAUUGGGUCUAAAGGGUCCGUAGCCGGUUUGGUCAGUCCUCCGGGAAAUCUGACGGCUCAACCGUUAGGCUUUCG